CUGUUUCUCUUUCUUUGGAUAUUGUUGUGGGAAGAUGGGUGCAAAAAAUUUGAGAAGGCCCCAGCAAACUUCCCCUCACGUCUCAUCCGUACAUCUUUGCAGAAGACUUAACCAGGUGUCUUGAAACAACUACUGGUUAGAGGAGGACCCAGUCCUGAAGGUUUUUCAAGAAGAAACUGCCCAUUCCAUAGGCAGGUGGCUCCCUGCUCUGCUGUUUUGGACCUUCAAUCACUAGUGACAUGCCAGCAAUCCACAAAGUCCUAGGUGUCUCUUUUAGCUAUCAUCAUCUGAAAGACAUCUAAAAGGGUUUUUUUUCGUGUUUGAGAGCAUUAGGUUUCAUUUCUUGCAUUCCACAAGAGCUCGGAUGGAGGCAUGUGGAAAAAGAACGAUAAUGAGUAGAAGAUUACGAUACAUACCACGAUUGAGUGCACAUGGAAGUUUCUAAGAGAAUUCAGAGAAUGAAGAGGAGUCUCUGUUCAGGAGGGCUUGAUGGAGAAUGUGGAAUUUGCUCAAGGCUUUUGUUAAGAUUUUGAUAGGAAAACUAUCAUAGGGAAUGGCUAGAAUAGAUUUUAGAAUCAUACAGUAUGUAUCUUGGUUCAUCUUCAAAAUCAGACUGAGCUUUGAAACUAACAGGUUUUAAUCAAAGCUGGCUUUAUAGGAGGAGUAUAAUUUACACACUACUGUUUUAAAACAAUUAGUGUGAGUGUGUGCAUGUGUUUUUGUAUGAUUGAGCCCAAUUAUUGUAAGUCUACACUCAUUAGAAGUAAUGUACCCAUGGAGAUGAGCAAAAUAGUAUGUAGAUGUGAUCUCAAUUUAAAAUAGAAAAAUCGAUUCAAUACACUCUGUAUCAGUCCUUCAAAAAAUAAAAUGAAAUGCUCCAAUAUUGAGAAGUAAUUAAGGUUACCUUUAGUUGUUAAGUCUGUGAACAUAUUUCGUAGGAUAAGUUUGGGAGGCAGCUUUUCAACAUGAGAGCAGAUGUCAGUACAUUUUUUGGAAUGUUCUACUUUGCCUUAUCUUUAUUACAUACAGAAAAAGAAAUAAGACAAAACACAUUUUCAGUCAAAUAAUGUAAUAUAAUAUGGAAAGAACUGACUGUUGUCAACCUGAUAAUCAGGAUAUACUUUCAAGGUUUUUUUUUUAGCCAAUAUAACUAUGAAAUGACAAAAAUACCCUUUUCCAGGAUAUUUAGUGAUUCACUGGAUGAGUCAUACCUUUUAAAAAAUCUCUGCUCCUUUCAUCGUAACUUGGAAAUUUUCCGUAUUAUAAACUGUGUUUUCUUAUGUGACCAUACGAAACAAAGACUAUGUUUGUAAAUCUAGCUUCCACAUGAGUCUACACUAUUAUUGCAACAUGGGUUUAUAUGGUCUGAAAGUAUUUUAUAUUUAUUCUAAAUAACUUGAUUCUUAUCCGAAUUUAAAAAAAUUUGCCCAGAGGUGAGACAAAUUCUUUACCAUGUUAUAGUUUCAAAGUUUUGUGGAAAGACCUGAGGGUCAUGUAGCACACUAGAUGUGGUACGCCAUUGGGUAUGACUUCCCUUGUUGUGUCUUGAAAGCUACUUCUCCUUCCACGGCAGAGUUGCAAAUCAAAAGUGAACUACUAUUUUUUGUGGUAAGUAAACAUUUGGAAAACUGG